GAUGAACGCUGGCGGCGUGCCUAAUACAUGCAAGUCGAGCGGAGAUACUUGAAGGAAGUUUUCGGAUGGAAUUUGAGUAUUUUAGCGGCGGACGGGUGAGUAACGCGUGAGUGACCUGCCUUCCACAGGGGGAUAACGUACCGAAAGGUACACUAAUACCGCAUGAGACCACAGCACUGCCUGGUGCAGGGGUCAAAGGAGCAAUCCGGUGGAAGAUGGACUCGCGUCCGAUUAGAUAGUUGGUGGGGUAACGGCCUACCAAGUCAGCGAUCGGUAGCCGACCUGAGAGGGUGAUCGGCCACAUUGGAACUGAGAGACGGUCCAAACUCCUACGGGAGGCAGCAGUGGGGAAUAUUGGGCAAUGGGGGAAACCCUGACCCAGCGGCGCCGCGUGAGGGAAGAAGGUUUUCGGAUUGUAAACCUCUGUUCUUGGUGAAGAGGGAAAGACGGUAGCCAAGGAGGAAGCCCCGGCUAACUACGUGCCAGCCGCCGCCGUAA
rnacentral:rRNA from 1 species